UACGUAGGGCGCAAGCGUUAUCCGGAAUUAUUGGGCGUAAAGAGCUCGUAGGCGGUUUGUCGCGUCUGCCGUGAAAGUCCGGGGCUCAACUCCGGAUCUGCGGUGGGUACGGGCAGACUAGAGUGCAGUAGGGGAGACUGGAAUUCCUGGUGUAGCGGUGAAAUGCGCAGAUAUCAGGAGGAACACCGAUGGCGAAGGCAGGUCUCUGGGCCGAUACUGACACUGAGGAGCGAAAGCGUGGGGAGCGAACAGG
rnacentral:rRNA from 1 species